rnacentral:rRNA from 1 species
UACGGAGGAUCCGAGCGUUAUCCGGAUUUAUUGGGUUUAAAGGGAGCGUAGGUGGAUUGUUAAGUCAGUUGUGAAAGUUUGCGGCUCAACCGUAAAAUUGCAGUUGAAACUGGCAGUCUUGAGUACAGUAGAGGUGGGCGGAAUUCGUGGUGUAGCGGUGAAAUGCUUAGAUAUCACGAAGAACUCCGAUUGCGAAGGCAGCUCACUGGACUGCAACUGACACUGAGGCUCGAAAGUGUG